rnacentral:lncRNA from 1 species
CCAGAAUUUGAGUUCUUGCUCAGCGACAUGGAAUGUAUGAAGCAAGGGCCUGGCUAAACAGCUUUAUAUAAUACGACCGAGUAAAGUAGGGUAGUACCAACAAAGAAUUUGACUAAGCCUUUGGAGCUUCUUGUCCUGACCAAGUUCACCUGUAGUGAGGAGAGAACAGCCAUUCAUGGAUCACUCAGGUGGUGACAAGGCGACGAGAUACAACAGCAUAUGGCAGAAUGAUCCUGGAAUGAAGGAGAAACACUCAGCAGGAACCCCAAAGAUGACUAGGGAUAUAGGCAAGGACUGUGGCUUAUUAAGAUUCAUUGCCAAGCCUUGCUCUGCCCUGUUCUGCAUCACAGGGGCUGACCUCCUCCUGGUACAUUUCCCAAGCUCCUGUUCCAUCUGGCUCCUGAUUAAGUUUGGCCAAUGGGAGGCCUCAGAAGAACAUUAGAGGAAGGAAAAAGCCAAGGUGGAGGUGGACAGCAUACCCUGGGGAACCUAAAAAUUCCUGAGCUAUGGCCC